AUGAAGCUCUUGCUCUCUUUGUGUUUCUGCUGUGGUAUUUCAAAAACAUUUUUUUCUAUUUUAACAUGAAAUCAGUGUUUUAUCAGUCAGUGUGAACUACAAGCAGCUCCAGAGAGAAGAAAACAUCCUGCAGAGACUCUGAGCGGAGCUAGCGAUGCUAACAGACUAGCAGCAGCAGCAGCUUGUUUUAUACUCAGUGAUUCUGGUGAAUGUUGAUGUUUUGAUUCAUCAGCUGUUUUUUUUCUCCACUGAUGAUAUCAAUACUCGAUCAGCUUAUUGACAGAACCAAGUGGGUUUUAGUGGAACCGCAUUAAAACGAUUCUGGUCUGAUCUCUCUGACAGAAUCUUGUUUCUCAACAGCUGAUUGAGAAUCUUCAUCCAUUCAUCCAGAGCUGGAAGUGAGAGGAUGAGGACCUGAGGCACUUCAAGAAGCUGGACCCCUGCAGGGAGGGAGGAGACCAGAGGUGCCUGCUGCUGGCAGGCCGCAGACGAUGAAGGUCUCCAUCCUCUUCCUCCUCUGCAGAAAAAGGAGGAUCAUUCCAGAAGUCGGGUCAGAACUGGCCUGUAGUGGGGUCAAAGAUCACAGAGAAAGCACAAAGCUGCGAUGGCGGCGCGGUCUGAGCUGCAGCUCUUUGGAUCAUGUGACAUGUUUGUCGGUGCAGCUUUCUGAAUGCAACGUGUUUGUUCUGGUUCUUCUUCUUGUGUAUUUGUGCUGCUGAGCCACCAGCAGAUA